rnacentral:lncRNA from 1 species
UAAGUGGUAAUUUAUGAUGGAUUUACCAACGGAUGUGUACAUUGUACUUACCGGCGGAUAUACUCGUUGGUAAGGGAUAUAUGUUUAGUUUAUUGAUGGAUAUAGCCCGUUGAUAAUAUGAUCGAUAAUAUAAUUUAGGUUUUCCUUCACCCGAAUUCAUUUUGCACGUUGCCCCUUCUUCCUUCAUUCCCCUUUACAAGUUGCCCCUUUCGACUGAUUCAAUCCCCUACACUAGAGAAAGGUUUUUGUUCCUCUAAUUGAUUUUGCACAUUCCUCAUUCGUUCUUUCAUUCCCCUCUAUAAGUUGUGUUCUUUGAUUGAUUCAUUACCCUACACCAACGAAAGGUUUUCGUUCCCCUAAUUGAUUUUGCUCGUUCUCCUGCUUGUUCUUUGAUUCCCAUGCAUGUUGCCCCCUUCGUUCAUUCAUUCCCUUGCACCGAAGGAGGUUGACUAUCGCGAAGAGGAGGUUGACUGCCGCGAAGAAGAGACUGCUUCCCUUCCCCUGCCCUGCGUUGGUUUAAGGUAAGUUUUCCCUCUCCCAAUAGGUUUUGUGCAUUCAUUAAUUCGUUGUUUCACUAAAGGCCUAUUGGUUCCCCUGUAGUGGUCUUGAUUGGUGUGAGGAAGAGGUGUGCAUGUUUUUGUUGUUGUCGUCAAGAAUUGAGG